GGAGGCUAACGCAGGGAACUGAAACAUCUUAGUACCUGCAGGAAAAGAAAAUAAACAAUGAUUCCCCCAGUAGUGGCGAGCGAACGGGGAACAGCCCAAACCAUCCAUGUUACGGCAUGUGUGGGGUUGUAGGACUACGCCGUUGCAUGAAGACAUCAGAGAAGAACUUUCUGGAAAGAAAGACCAUAGAGCAUGACAGUUGCGUAUUCGAAUGUUGUCGAAGCAUAGUAGUAUCCUGAGUAGCGCGGAGCACGAGGAAUUCUGCGUGAAUCUGCCGGGACCAUCCGGUAAGGCUAAAUACUCCCGAGAGACCGAUAGCGAACCAGUACCGUGAGGGAAAGGUGAAAAGCACUUCGAACAGAAGAGUGAAAUAGUUCCUGAAACCGUGCGCCUACAAGCGGUCGGAGCUCGUUAAUGAGUGACGGCGUGCCUUUUGCAUAAUGAACCUACGAGUUGCCUUUGCCGGCAAGGUUAAGUGUGACGACACACGUAUCCGAAGCGAAAGCGAGUCUGAAUAGGGCGUAUAGUCGGCAGUGGCAGACGCGAAACCAAGUGAUCUACCCUUGGCCAGGUUGAAGGCUGGGUAACACCAGCUGGAGGACCGCACCAAUAAGCGUUGAAAAGCUUCUGGAUGAGCUGAGGGUAGGGGUGAAAGGCUAAUCAAACUUGGAGAUAGCUCGUACUCCCCGAAAUGCAUUUAGGUGCAGCCUUGCGGGUUACUGAUGUGAGGUAGAGCGACUGAUAAGAUGCGAGGGCUUCACCGCCUAUCAAGUCUUGACAAACUCCGAAUGCGCAUCAGUUCUACCGCAGGAGUGAGGGCAUGGGUGCUAAGGUCCGUGCCCGAGAGGAGAAGAAUCCGGACCACCUGCUAAGGUCCCGAAAUGACAGCUAAGUUAAACUAACGAAGUCUGACUGCUAAGACAGCUAGGAUGUUGGCUUGGAAGCAGCCAUUCAUUUAAAGAGUGCGUAACAGCUCACUAGUCGAGGAGUCGGGCGUGGAUAAUAAUCGGGUAUCAAGUUGUCUACCGAAGCAGUGGGAUCAUUUAUAUGAUCGGUAGGGGAGCAUUCCAGUCGGCGUCGAAGGCGUACCGUGAGGUAUUCUGGAGCGUCUGGAAAAGCAAAUGUAGGUAUAAGUAACGAUAAAGGGGGCGGGAAACCCCCUCGCCGAAAGACUAAGGUUUCCUGAUCAACGCUAAUCGGAUCAGGGUCAGUCGGGUCCUAAGGCUCAGCCGAACGGCGAUGCCGAUGGCAGAAACGGUUAAUAUUCCGUUACUACCUUCAGGAGUGACGUGGAGACGCAGUAGUGACAGUGCCGCCAUCUGACGGAAUAGAUGGUUGAAGGGUGUAGGAGUCGAUCAUGGCAGGCAAAUCCACCAUGAGAUCCGAACCUGACAGUAUGCCGCGUCCUUCGGGACAAGGCAAUAGUGCGCGUAAGCAUGCUGCCGAGAAAAUCCGCUAAACUUAAUCCUGCAGGUACCCGUACCGCAAACGGACACACGUAGUCGGGAUGAAUAUUCUAAGGCGCUUGAGUGAUUCACGGUUAAGGAACUAGGCAAACUGACCCUGUAACUUCGGGAUAAAGGGUCCCUACCCUUUUAUGGGAGGGCGCAGAGAAUCGGUCCAGGCAACUGUUUAACAAAAACACAGGGCUGUGCCAAAUCGAAAGAUCCAGUAUACAGCCUGACACCUGCCCGGUGCUGGAAGGUUAAGAGGAGAUGUCAUCGAUGAGAGAAGCGUUGAAUUGAAGCCCCAGUAAACGGCGGCCGUAACUAUAACGGUCCUAAGGUAGCGAAAUUCCUUGUCGGGUAAGUUCCGACCUGCACGAAUGGUGUAAUGAUCUGGACGCUGUCUCAACCGUGAGCUCAGUGAAAUUGUAGUAUCGGUGAAGAUGCCGAUUACCCGCGAUGGGACGAAAAGACCCCGUGAACCUUUACUAUAGCUUAUCAUUGAAUCUGGGCACGUGAUGUGUAGGAUAGGUCGGAGGCUUUGAAGCAGGUACGCCAGUAUUUGUGGAGCCGCUGUUGAAAUACGACCCUUUAUUUGUUUGGAUUCUAACCCGUGGAACGGGGACAUUGAUUGGUGGGUAGUUUGACUGGGGUGGUCGCCUCCAAAAGCGUAACGGAGGCUUCUAA
rnacentral:rRNA from 1 species